UACGUAGGGGGCAAGCGUUGUCCGGAUUUAUUGGGCGUAAAGAGCUCGUAGGCGGUUUGGUAAGUCGGAUGUGAAAUCUCCAGGCUCAACCUGGAGGGGUCAUUCGAUACUGCCAUGACUAGAGUUCGGUAGGGGAGUGUGGAAUUCCUGGUGGAGCGGUGAAAUGCGCAGAUAUCGGGAGGAACACCGGUGGCGAAGGCGGUUCUCUGGGCCUGACCUGACGCUGAGGAGCGAAAGCGUGGGGAGCGAACAGG
rnacentral:rRNA from 1 species